UCCGAGGGAUGCAAUCGUUAUCCGGAAUUAUUGGGCGUAAAGCGUUUGUAGGCGGGCGAGUGUGUUUAAUGUUAAAUCUUAAAGCUCAACUUUGAAAUUGCGUUAAAAACUGCUUGUCUUGAGUAUGGUAGGGGUAAAGGGAAUUCCCAGUGUAGCGGUGAAAUGCGUAGAUAUUGGGAAGAACACUAAACAGCGAAGGCACUUUACUAGGCUAAUACUGACGCUGAGAAACGAAAGGUAAGGUAGAGAAACGG
rnacentral:rRNA from 1 species